rnacentral:sRNA from 1 species
UAAAUCGCACCUAGUUGCACCAAAGUAUAAAUCGCACCUAGUUGCACCAAAG